GCGUAGGAAUCUACCUAGGUAGUACGGAAUAGCCAUUAGAAAUGGUGGGUAAUACUGUAUAAUCCCCGAGGGGGAAAGAUUUAUCGCUAUUAGAUGAGCCUACGUUAGAUUAGCUAGUUGGUGAGGUAAUGGCUUACCAAGGCUAUGAUCUAUAGCUGGUCUGAGAGGACGAUCAGCCACACUGGAACUGAGAUACGGUCCAGACUCCUACGGGAGGCAGCAGUGGGGAAUAUUGGACAAUGGGCGAAAGCCUGAUCCAGCUAUGCCGCGUGAGUGAAGAAGGCCUUCGGGUUGUAAAACUCUUUCAAUAGGGAAGAUAAUGACGGUACCUAUAA
rnacentral:rRNA from 1 species